AGCUCUGGAAGCCUAGUGGUUAGAGCAUCUGCUUAGGAUGUGAGAGGACUAAGGUUCAAACCCUGGCUGAGUUA